rnacentral:rRNA from 1 species
CCUAAGCCGUCUGGGGGAUGGCUGGGCUCGGGCGCCGAGGAAGGGCGUGCCAAGCUGCGAUAUGCCCCGGGGAGGCGCAAGGAGCCUGAGAUCCGGGGAUCCCCGAAUGGGACUUCCUGUCCGCCUCGGCGGGCGCUCCGUAAGGAGCGGGAACCCGGGGAACUGAAACAUCUCAGUACCCGGAGGAAGAGAAACCAAUAGGGAUUCCGUGAGUAGGGGCGACCGAAAGCGGAACAGGGCAAACCGAACCCCGUGGCGAAGAGUCACGGGGGAUGUGGAGUUGCAGGACCCCGCCCAACGCCUAGCGGGUUAACCCGAAGUGGUCUGGAACGGCCUGCCGUAGAGGGUGAAAGCCCCGUAGGGGUAAGCCCGCGGCCACGAGGUGGGGUAUCCUGAGUACCGUGCGUCGGAUAUCGCGCGGGAAAUUGGGUGGCACUAACAUCCAACCCUAAAUACGUCCCGAGUCCGAUAGCGCACUAGUAGGGUGACCGAAAGCUGAAAAGUACCCCGAGAGGGGGGUGAAAAGAGCCUGAAACCAGGCGGCGACAGCUUGGUGGGGCGAGAAAGGGAAGAAGCCCCGUAGCUGGGGUGGACCGUCGUCCCACUGUCCGUGUUGAAGAACGGGCCAGGGAGUUCCGGUCGGCGGCGAGGCUAAGGUCGGAAGACCGGAGCCGCGGCGAAAGCGACAAGCCCGCAGCCCCGCAAUGGGGUCAGGGGCGGGGUGCGCUCGCCCGGAGUCGCCGGCGGGAGACCCGAAGCCGGUCGAUCUAGGCCUGGGUAGGUUGAAGCCCGGCGAAAGCCGGGUGGAGGACCGCACCGGUGCUGAUGUGCAACUCGCUCGGAUGACCUGGGUCUAGGGGUGAAAGGCCAAUCUAGGCCGGCAAUAGCGGGUUCCCCCCGAGACUACCCGCAGGUAGGCCUCCCCGGAGGUAGCCGGCGGGGUAGAGUUACUGAUUGGGGGGUCAGGGGGCGAAAGCCCUCGCUUCCCUUUCAAACUCCGAACCUGUCGGCGCCGUAGAAGGGGGGAGUUAGGGCGUCGGGAUAAGCUUGACGACCGAGAGGGGAACAACCCAGAGGGGGGUUAAGGUCCCUAAGUGCCGGCUAAGUGUCAUGCAAAGGGCGUCCAUGGCCCAAGACAGCGGGGAGGUUGGCUUAGAAGCAGCCAUCCUUUAAAGAGUGCGUAACAGCUCACCCGCCGAGGUCAUGGGCCCCGAAAAUGGACGGGACUAAGCCGGCCACCGAGACCCCUCGCCACCGAAAGGUGAUGCGGUAGGGGGGCGUGCCGCGUGGGCGGAAGUGUCUCCGAGAGGAGGCAUGGACCGCGCGGCAACGCAAAUCCUGGCGGGAGUAGGAGCAAAGAGCCGUGAGAAUCGGCUCCGCCGCAGGGGCUAAGGGUUCCACGGCAAUGUUCGUCAGCCGUGGGUUAGGCGGUCCUAAGGGCGCCCCUAAUUGGAGGCGCUCGAAAGGGAAGCCGGUUAAUAUUCCGGCCCCGUGAGCGAUGCCUCGCGUCGGGGAUGACGCUUCGGGCUAAGCCGAGUACCGUUGCCGCGGUAUUGAGGUGCCGAAGUGAGGGGAGUGCCGUAAUGGCGAGAACCUUGCGAAGGCACCGAGGCCCAAUAGGGUUCGGCCGAUGCCUGGAGCCCGUGAAAAGUCUCCGGCGAAAUGGUGUCGCUCACGACCGUACCAAGAACCGACACAGGUGCCCCUGGGUGAGCAGCCUAAGGCGUGUGGGAUCAACCGACCCGAGGGAAUUAGGCAAAUUGGCCCCGUACCUUCGGAAGAAGGGGUGCCUACUCCGGGAAGGAGUAGGUCGCAGUGGCUAGGGGACCCCGACUGUUUAACAAAAACAUAGGUCGGUGCAACCCCGAAAGGGCUAGUACACCGGCUGAAGCCUGCCCAGUGCCCGUACCUGAAGCCCGGGUACAACCGGGUGAAGGGCGGGUAAACGGCGGGGGUAACUAUGACCCUCUUAAGGUAGCGUAAUACCUCGCCGCUUAAUUGGCGGCUUGCAUGAAGGCCCAACGAGCGUCCCGCUGUCCCCGGGUCGGGUCCCCCGAAACCAAUGUACUGGUGCACAAUCCAGUCCCCCCCACGUGAAAGCGAAGUCCCUGUGGAGCUUUACUGCAGCCUGCCCCUGCGGUACUGUCGAGGAUGCGCAGGGUAGGCGGGAGCCGUCGAAGCGCCCUCUCCGGGGGGCGUGGAGGCGCCGAUGAGACACCGCCCUUCCUUGAUGGUAUCGCUAACCCCGAAAGGGGGACAAGGGUUGGUGGGCAGUUUGGGUGGGGCGCCACGCCCUCGAAAAGAUAACAAGGGCCCCCAAAGGUCGGCUCAGGGGGGUCAGAAAUCCCCCGUAGAGUGCAAGGGCAAAAGCCGGCUUGACACGGUUGCGCAUAAUAAGCAACCGUGAUGGGAAACCACGGCCUAGCGAACCGCCCUGUCCUCAUUAGUGGGGGCGGGCGAUAAGAGAGAAGUUACCCCAGGGAUAACUGAGUUGUCUCCGGCAAGAGUUCAUAUCGACCCGGAGGCUUGCUACUUCGAUGUCGUCUCUUCCUAUCCUGGCGGUGCAGCAGCCGCCAAGGGUGGGGCUGUACGCCCAUUAAAAGGGAUCGUGAGAUGGGUUCACUACGUCGUGAGACAGUAGGGGUGCUUUUCCGUGGGGGUGCGUCGGCGCCUGAGGGGAAGGGGGCUCUAGUACGAGAGGAACGAGCCCUCGCGGCCUCUAGUCUACCGGUUGUCUGGCAAGGCAUCGCCGGGCAGCCACGCCGUAGCCGAUAAGUGCUGAAAGCAUCUAAGCACGAAGCGGUCCCCGAAACGAGGCGCCGUCUGAGGGCAUCCGUACAAGACGGGUUUGAUAGGGCCGGGAUGUAAGCGGCGAGCCCUUCGGGGCGAGCCGUUAAGUCCGCGGCUACUAACGCCCGAAGCUGCUACC